AUGAUCGCUGGCGGCGUGCCUAAUACAUGCAAGUCGAGCGAACAGACGAGGAGCUUGCUCCUCUGACGUUAGCGGCGGACGGGUGAGUAACACGUGGAUAACCUACCUAUAAGACUGGGAUAACUUCGGGAAACCGGAGCUAAUACCGGAUAAUAUAUUGAACCGCAUGGUUCAAUAGUGAAAGACGGUUUUGCUGUCACUUAUAGAUGGAUCCGCGCCGCAUUAGCUAGUUGGUAAGGUAACGGCUUACCAAGGCAACGAUGCGUAGCCGACCUGAGAGGGUGAUCGGCCACACUGGAACUGAGACACGGUCCAGACUCCUACGGGAGGCAGCAGUAGGGAAUCUUCCGCAAUGGGCGAAAGCCUGACGGAGCAACGCCGCGUGAGUGAUGAAGGUCUUCGGAUCGUAAAACUCUGUUAUUAGGGAAGAACAAAUGUGUAAGUAACUAUGCACGUCUUGACGGUACCUAAUCAGAAAGCCACGGCUAACUACGUG
rnacentral:rRNA from 1 species